UUGUUUAAAAUGUGAACCAACUGGUCGGGGACAGUAAUCUAAUUCUGCAUUUGGUUUGAGGCCAAUGCAUUGAGGGCAUUCAAUAAAUAAUGGUGUUUGGUGAGCCUUUCCUAGAUCCUGGCUGCUUAUGUCCAAGAUGAAGCUAGGACCUUCAGAAGCAAGCUCAAGAGAUGAUGAAUGAAGGAAGGUGGAGCUCCGAAGACCAUGAAGAACUGCUACAGAAGAAAACAAGCUUUCAAUAAAAUAAAAGAGACAUCAAUCACACAUUUUACCCAUUUAUGAAACAUGCUCAGGACAAGGUACUCAGACGUGAAGAAGCAUUCCCAGGAACCAUCUUGGAGAACUGGACUUGGUAACAUGAGAGCUGGGAAGUCCCAAUUCUUGGUCAUGAAGAGUCUACCACGAAGAGAAUUGGUUUGGAAACCAGAAGGCUAACUUUUACAUGAGGCACCAGGGCUAAUGCCCACAGAUUUCAGAGAGGACAAUAAUGGGUAUUUCUGAUGUUGAAAUCCUAGGAUUGAUCUGACAGCACAAACCAAAUGCCAGCAGUUUCCCUGGAGUUCUGCUGCGUGCUUUUGCCAACCCUGAUGAUCCAGAGGACCUCACAUCUCAAGUGGCUCCUAUGGUGAAGGAACUACGGAGUUUCUCUGAGCACCUAAGAUUACUCUGCUUCAAGGAACUCAUGAGUGUGUGGACAGAAAAUAUCUUUGAGGGAUUCCCAGGAGUGACUCCAAUGAAAGACCAAGAGAGUGAGUACACAUAGGCUGUUGUUCCAUUUCUCCAGAGGCCUUUCAGACCUGAUUUAGGCAGGACAGAAUUUCUUUGGAAGAGUCCCUGAGUUCCACAUUUCUAGAAUUCUACAACCUGAAUGGUAGGUCUGGCUGUCCCUCCAUCAGGCUGUACUUAUUUAAUAAAUACCCCAACCAUUAGGAACUCAAGGGGAAACGAGUUGGAAUUAGAAGACACUGUUUUUUGGUUCUGGUUUUUUCUUUUAUGACCAGCUCAUGUCAGGUCCCAAAACGAAGAGGAGGGCAGGUCUCAAACUAGGAGAAGAGAUUUACACUUUCUCUCACCAAAAGGAGGAUUGUAAUCCCCCAAAUAUGGUUGAUCAGUGAGUGACCCUUGAGUUAGCAGAAGCUGGAGCUACUAUGUAAUGGCCGUAUGGAUGAGGAGACAGUCAGAGGCAAGGUGUCCACAUGGUUCAGUGAGGGUCUUCCUCUACCUUUAGCUUGGCCUCUUUGAACAUAUCUAAUUGCAGUCUUCCAGGGUAAUUUUGAAGACAGAAACUUUAAGAUGAUAAUAUCAGCUUAAUAAAGACAGGAGGUUUUGUUCCCAUCUCCCCCCGUUCUCUUCUGGCCCCUGCAGUAUCGUCAGCAUAAUGCCCAACACACAGUAGGUGCUCAAUAAAUAUCUGUGGAGUAAA
rnacentral:lncRNA from 1 species